rnacentral:rRNA from 1 species
GAGCAUGUGGUUUAAUUUGAAGCAACGCGCAGAACCUUACCAACCCUUGACAUCCUGUGCUAACUCCAGAGAUGGAGUGUUUCCUUCGGGGANGCAGUGACAGGUGCUGCAUGGCUGUCGUCAGCUCGUGUCGUGAGAUGUUCGGUUAAGUCCGGCAACGAGCGCAACCCACAUCNUUAGUUGCCAUCAUUCAGUUGGGCACUCUAGGGAAACUGCCCGUGAUAAGCGGGAGGAAGGUGUGGAUGACGUCAAGUCCUCAUGGCCCUUACGGGUUGGGCUACACACGUGCUACAAUGGUAGCGACAAUGGGUUAAUCCCAAAAAGCUAUCUCAGUUCGGAUUGGGGUCUGCAACUCGACCCCAUGAAGUCGGAAUCGCUAGUAAUCGCGUAACAGCAUGACGCGGUGAGUACGUUCCCGGGCCUUGUACACACCGCCCGUCACACCAUGGGAGUUGGGUUUACCCGAAGGCGGUACGCCAACCUUUUGGAGGCAGCCGACCACGGUAAGCUCAGCGACUGGGGUGAAGUCGUAACAAGCUAGCCGUAAGCUUCACA